CGUACGAUAUCUAAUAAUUGCGGUCGCGGCAAUUAUUGAACUGAAUGCGGAAUAAUAUUAAUUUUUUUUUUUUUUUUUUUUUCUAUUAUUUAUUAUCGUUCAACUCAAUUUAUUAGUUUAAACACUUUCCGUCCCAUUAAUAUUGCAAAAAUAACGAACUCAUCAGACUGUCUAAAUUCGUGCUCAUUACGCGAGAAAGGUUAAACAUGUCG